rnacentral:lncRNA from 1 species
UGUCACUAUAAUAUUUGUGUGUGCGUGUAAUAUUAUCUUCAGCAUCACCAGGGGGUAGCACAUGUUUGAAAUCUUUUGUGGUAGGGCCUAAUCUUGCUACUGGUAAUUGAAAUUGUUGUUUUCUUCAUACUAGUAUAUAGUCCAAUGUGGAUAACGAAUAAUUAGAGUAAUAUCAUAUAUAUCCCAUAUUUUUUAUAUAAGAAGAGAGAAGAAUUUACUUGUAAAACAAACUUGGCUACGUAGUGUAUGACUCGUGCAUUUCAAGUUAAC